rnacentral:rRNA from 1 species
CCUACGGGUGGCAGCAGUAGGGAAUAUUGCGCAAUGGGCGAAAGCCUGACGCAGCAACGCCGCGUGAUUGAUUAAGCCUUUCGGGGUGUAAAGAUCUGUCAGUGGGGACGAAAAUUGACGGUACUCACAGAGGAAGCACCGGCUAAAUGCGUGCAAGCAGCCGCGGUAAUACGGAGGGUGCAAGCGUUGUCCGGAAUCAUUGGGCUUAAAGGGUUCGUAGGUGGUAUGUUAAGUCUGAUGUUAAAUGCAGAAGCUCAACUUCAGUUCGGCACUGGAUCCUGGUAAGUUUGAAUGCGGUUGAGGUAAGGGGAAUUCCUGGUGUAGCGGGGAAAUGCUGAGAUAUCAGGAGGAACAUCGGUUGCGAAAGCGCUUUACUGGGCCGUAAUUGACACUGAGGAACGAAAGCCGGGGUAGCAAAUGGGAUUAGAUACCCGUGUAGUC